CAGGAUCAGAGAGGAUGAGACGAUCAGAGCCAAGAUCCAGAAGAACUGAACUCCCAUCCCCCGAGUCCUGCGGCAGGAAGCGCUCCUUCUCUCCAAGAACUCCUGGACCCUGCAAGCUGGUCCAGAACCAGAGUCCCAGUGAGGAGUCCAGCCAGUCCACCUCUCAUAGUUAAACUAAACUACAACAUUAUUAAAGAUCAUGUUUAAAGUUAAAAAAGGAUGCUUUCAGACUGAAUCCAGAAGUUUCUCAAGCUGCAGUCAAAACAGAUCAUUUGAGAAAUAUAUAAAACAAUUAUAAAACUGUAAUAAGAAUUACUCUGAAUACUUUCUUUGGACAUUUUAUUUACAUUUAUUUUAAACAAAUAUUUCAAAUGUUUCUGACUUUCUAUCCGAGUGCUUUUCUCAUGAAUUAACGACUUCAUUUAAUUUCCAUCUUUAUUUCGAACAGAU